rnacentral:rRNA from 1 species
AACGAACGCUGGCGGUAUGCUUAACACAUGCAAGUCGAACGAUUAAAGCACCUUCGGGUGUGUAUAAAGUGGCAGACGGGUGCGUAACGCGUGGGAAUCUACCUAGUAGUGGAGGACAACAGUUAGAAAUGACUGCUAAUACUCCAUAAGCCGGAAACGGGAAAGUUUUAUCGCUACUAGAUGAGCCCGCGUUAGAUUAGCUUGUUGGUGAGGUAAUGGCUCACCAAGGCUACGAUCUAUAGCUGGUCUGAGAGGAUGAUCAGCCACACUGGGACUGAGACACGGCCCAGACUCCUACGGGAGGCAGCAGUGGGGAAUAUUGGACAAUGGGCGCAAGCCUGAUCCAGCAAUACCGCGUGAGUGAUGAAGGCCUUAGGGUUGUAAAACUCUUUCAGAUGUGAAGAUAAUGACGGUAACAUCAGAAGAAGCCCCGGCUAACUUCG